UUUCUUCUUCUUCUCUCUCUUCUUCUUCUCUCUUUUGUGAAGAUGAGAGAAAAGAAAGAGAAAAAAGUGAGAGAGAAUCUGAGAUAAAAGAAGAGAAAAGAAGAGA
rnacentral:ribozyme from 13 species